GAUGAACGCUGGCGGCGUGCCUAAUACAUGCAAGUCGAGCGAACGGACGAGAAGCUUGCUUCUCUGAUGUUAGCGGCGGACGGGUGAGUAACACGUGGAUAACCUACCUAUAAGACUGGGAUAACUUCGGGAAACCGGAGCUAAUACCGGAUAAUAUUUUGAACCGCAUGGUUCAAAAGUGAAAGACGGUCUUGCUGUCACUUAUAGAUGGAUCCGCGCUGCAUUAGCUAGUUGGUAAGGUAACGGCUUACCAAGGCAACGAUGCAUAGCCGACCUGAGAGGGUGAUCGGCCACACUGGAACUGAGACACGGUCCAGACUCCUACGGGAGGCAGCAGUAGGGAAUCUUCCGCAAUGGGCGAAAGCCUGACGGAGCAACGCCGCGUGAGUGAUGAAGGUCUUCGGAUCGUAAAACUCUGUUAUUAGGGAAGAACAUAUGUGUAAGUAACUGUGCACAUCUUGACGGUACCUAAUCAGAAAGCCACGGCUAACUACGUGCCAGCAGCCGCGGUAAUACGUAGGUGGCAAGCGUUAUCCGGAAUUAUUGGGCGUAAAGCGCGCGUAGGCGGUUUUUUAGUCUGAUGUGAAAGCCCACGGCUCAACCGUGGAGGGUCAUUGGAAACUGGAAAACUUGAGUGCAGAAGAGGAAAGUGGAAUUCCAUGUGUAGCGGUGAAAUGCGCAGAGAUAUGGAGGAACACCAGUGGCGAAGGCGACUCUCUGGUCUGUAACUGACGCUGAUGUGCGAAAGCGUGGGGAUCAAACAGGAUUAGAUACCCUGGUAGUCCACGCCGUAAACGAUGAGUGCUAAGUGUUAGGGGGUUUCCGCCCCUUAGUGCUGCAGCUAACGCAUUAAGCACUCCGCCUGGGGAGUACGACCGCAAGGUUGAAACUCAAAGGAAUUGACGGGGACCCGCACAAGCGGUGGAGCAUGUGGUUUAAUUCGAAGCAACGCGAAGAACCUUACCAAAUCUUGACAUCCUUUGACAACUCUAGAGAUAGAGCCUUCCCCUUCGGGGGACAAAGUGACAGGUGGUGCAUGGUUGUCGUCAGCUCGUGUCGUGAGAUGUUGGGUUAAGUCCCGCAACGAGCGCAACCCUUAAGCUUAGUUGCCAUCAUUAAGUUGGGCACUCUAAGUUGACUACCGGUGACAAACCGGAGGAAGGUGGGGAUGACGUCAAAUCAUCAUGCCCCUUAUGAUUUGGGCUACACACGUGCUACAAUGGACAAUACAAAGGGCAGCGAAACCGCGAGGUCAAGCAAAUCCCAUAAAGUUGUUCUCAGUUCGGAUUGUAGUCUGCAACUCGACUACAUGAAGCUGGAAUCGCUAGUAAUCGUAGAUCAGCAUGCUACGGUGAAUACGUUCCCGGGUCU
rnacentral:rRNA from 1 species